rnacentral:tRNA from 1 species
AGCCGUAUGCCCGAGUGGUCAAGGGCUCCGCCUGCAAAGCGGAUGGCUGUCGGUUCGAUUCCGACUACGGCUUC